AUUGAACGCUGGCGGCAUGCCUAACACAUGCAAGUCGAACGGUAACGGGCCUUGCGUUGCCGUCGAGUGGCGGACGGGGGCGUAAUACAUAGGAACGUGCCCGCUCCUUGGGGAUCACGGAGCGAUAGGUUUGCUAGGAGCUCAUACGAUCUACGGUUGUGAGCCGGGGGCCGCAAGGCCGUGCGCGGGCGGAGCUGCCGAUGGUAGAUUAGUUAGUUGGUGGGAUAACAGCUUACCAAGCCGACGAUCUGUAGCGGGUCUGAGAGGAUGAUCAGCCACACUGGGACUGAGACACGGCCCAGACUCCUACGGGAGGCAGCAGUGGGGAAUUUUGGACAAUGGGCGCAAGCCUGACCCAGCCAUGCCGCGUGCGGGAUGAAGGCCUUCGGGUUGUAAACUGCUUUUGUACGGAACGAAAAGCUUUCUAUUAAUACAGGCGGGUCAUGACGGUACCGUAAGAAUAAGCACCGGCUAACUACGUG
rnacentral:rRNA from 1 species